rnacentral:rRNA from 1 species
AUUGAACGCUGGCGGCAGGCCUAACACAUGCAAGUCGAACGCGUGGCGGACGGGUGAGUAAUGUCUGGGAAACUGCCUGAUGGCGGGGGAUAACUACUGGAAACGGUAGCUAAUACCGCAUACCAUCAGCUUUGCCCAGAGGGGAUUCUCUGGUUGGUGGGGUAAAGGCUCACCAAGUCGACGAUCCCUAGCUGGUCUGAGAGGAUGACCAGCCACACUGGAACUGAGACACGGUCCAGACUCCGACGGGAGGCAGCAGUGGGGAAUAUUGCACAAUGGGCGCAAGCCUGAUGCAGCCAUGCCGCGUGUAUGAAGAAGGCCUUCGGGUUGUAAAGUACUUUCAGCGGGGAGGCGUUACCCGCACAAGAAGCACCGGCUAACUCCGUGCCAGCAGCCGCGGUAAUAC